GUCUGGGAGGAGGGUCGUGUUAUAGUGGGCGUGGUUUUUCGAUGGUGGGGGUAAUGUCAAGGUCACACAGUGGGCGUGGUCUCUCGAUGGUGGGAGUAAGGAGAAGGCGUGGUCUUAUCAUUGAUUGGGUAAGGAGAGGCGUAGUCUCUCGAUGGUGGUGGUAAUGGAGGAUCGCAUUCAUGAGGGUGGGGGUAAGGAGAAGGCGUGGUCUUAUCAUUGAUUGGGUAAGGGUAGGCGUUGUCUUAUCAUUGAUUGGGUAAGGGGAGGUGUGUUCUUAUCAAUGGUGGAGGGAAGGGGUGGAGUGAUCUCACGAUGGUGUGGGGUAAUGACCGUGGUCAAGGUCAAACAAUAAACGUGGUUUCUCGGUGGUGGGGGUAAGGGUGGCGUGGUCUUAUCAAUGAUGGGGUAAGGGGAGGUGUGGUCUCAUCAUUGAUUGGGUAAGGAGAAGGCGUGGUAUCACGAUGGUAGGGGUAAUUUGGGACUUAGGUGGGGUUGUUAAGGUAAAUCAAAAUGGCGGUUUAAAGUGCGCAUGCGCACUAUAACUUCAUGUCAGUGGUGGGGUAGGUAGCCAUAUGGUUGUCUCCUCCUACGAUGUCAUCUACUGGAAGGUAAGGUAAACCUCAUGUGAACUGAUAACGGUAACUGAUAAACGUACGUGUAAACAUACACAUUACAUUGAAAUAAUGUACGUCAAAUAAUGGCCGCCGUUGCCACUUUAACAUAUUUACUUAAUAUUAACGCUACGACUCUGUCAACAAUUCCUAUACAGGAAACAUAACAUAAACUAACCUAUAAUGGGUGGGGAUGAAUCCAACUAUAUUAUUAUUACUGCUAUAUUAUAAUGCUCAUAGACGUCAGCAUUUUAUGAGAACAAUGACAAUGUUUGUCGUUAUGGCAUAAUUUCUAAGAAUUUUAUCAUCAGUUACCAGACGCAUAGCUAAGCAUAUUUCCAACAUCAAAGGUACCGCCAUAUUAUAACUCACAUUACCGUCUACAUUUUAUAAAAACAAAGACAACCUCUCUCGUUUUGGCAUAAUAAAUUCUAAGAAAUUUAUCAUGGGUAACCAGACGCUUAGCUAAGCAUAUUUCCAACAUCAAAGGUACCGCUAUAUUAUAACGUUCAUAGGCGUCUGCAUUUUUAUUUUUUACAUAGUAUUUUAUCAUUGCCUACCACCAGAUGUUUAGAAAAACAUCUCGUUAAUAUUAGUAUAUUACUAUUAAUUAUAUAAUUAAUAUAAUUACUAUAAUUGGUAAUAUAUUUUUAGAAUUACUAUGUUUAGGUUGCUAUAAUAGUAUAAUCGCUAUUAUUAUUAUUUUCUACUGCGCCUUUAAAAUAAUAAUAUAUGUAUUACAUUUUAUUUUAUUAUAUUUAAUUUGACAAUUUUUUUAUACCUAUAACUUGAGGUAUUACAUUUUAAAGUCGCUCCCCCACCACCAGCACCCCCGAGUCUUCACUGCGUUUAUUAUUUAAUGUAUACAUUACAUUGAAAUAGUGUACGUCAAGUAGCGACCGCCGCCACCACACUUGACUAUUCCUUGAACGAUUUGUAACAAACUCUAUUAAGACAAUUGGGUGUGAGGUGCGCACAAUGUGUGAAACCCAAUGAAACUAACCUAAGUCAGGGGAGGGGGAUUUCCUCAACAUGUCCUAAUGAGCGAAUGGAUAAUGAAACUUAACUUAAAACCAACCGCCAUAUUAUAACCCACAUUACCGUCAACAUUUUAUGAAAAAUAAUUGCUGUCUGCGUUUUAUCAAAGUUAUCUUUUUCUAAGAAUUUUUAUCAUUCCCUACCAGACACUUAGGUAAGCAUAUUUCAAACAUCAAAGGUACCGCCAUAUUAUAACACACAUUACCGUCUACAUUUUAUAAAAACAAAGACAACGUCUGUCGUUAUGGCAUUAUAAUUUCUAAGAAUUUUAUCAUGGGUAACCAGACGCUUAGGUAAGCAUAUUUAAAACAUCAAAGAUUUCGCCGUACAGUAAUAAUCACUGUUGUAUGCAUUUAUUUUUUACAUAGUAUUUUAUCGUUAGUAACAAGACGCUUACGUCAGCAUAUUCUAAACAUCAAAUGUAUUACUAUAUUAUAACGUUCAUAGGCGUCAGCAUUUUAUGAGAACAAUGACAACGUCUGUCGUUAUGGCAUAAUAAAUUCUAAGAAAUUUAUCAUCGGUUACCAGACGCUUAGGUCAGCAUAUUUCCAAAGAUGUUACAAUAUAUUAAUGGUCACUGUCGUAUGCAUUUUAUGAGAAAAAUGGCAACGUUGUCUUUUUUAACGCCUACGCGUUUUAUCAGAACAAUGGCAACGUUUGUCGUUAUGGAAUUUUAUUACUGUUUACCAGACGCUUAGAUAAGCAUAUUUCCGACAUCGUUUGUGUAGUACCUGUUUAAACCAACCAAAACUUGUCUAAACAAGAUCUUUGACCCCUAUAAAAGAACGUCACAUCAAUUUCAGGAUCAUUCACUCAUUAUCUUUUCCAAAGCGAUUAUACCAAAAACCAUUUGCUUGUUUAUUUCUAUUUGUUGUCCUAAAGAAUUUCUAAGACUUUUGAUAUAAAAUAAAAAUGGAGCAAUUAAAGAAACAAUUGAAUGAUCAGAGUAAAUUAAAAAUAUAUUCAAAAUUAAGUGAUUUGGAGGAACACACGCCAUACAAAAUCAUAUCUAUGAAAAAUACAAGCACACGAAAUGGGGUUGUCGUUGUUGGUUGUCUAUUCAACAAUAUGAAUGUGUUUAUCCCGAGAUUGAAAUUAACUAAUGAAGAAAUCGAAGCUUACAAUAUCAACAAUGAUGAUAACAAAAUACAUUUAUUAUAUAGAGGCAAAAGAGGAAAUGCAUAUUUGUUUGAUUUUCAGUAAUUUGUUAAUAUUUUGCCUUGUUUUUUAAACUUAUUUAUAUAAAAAAAUAAAAAAACUUAUUAUUAUAAACUUGUAAGAUUUAAAAUUCAAUAAAAUAUACUAUUUUUUA